rnacentral:rRNA from 1 species
CCUACGGGAGGCAGCAGUAGGGAAUCUUCCACAAUGGGCGAAAGCCUGAUGGAGCAACGCCGCGUGAGUGAUGAAGGCCUUCGGGUUGUAAAACUCUGUCAUUCGGGACGAACCGGAGUCUGAGGAAAUGCAGACUCUCUGACGGUACCGGAGGAGGAAGCCCCGGCUAACUACGUGCCAGCAGCCGCGGUAAUACGUAGGGGGCAAGCGUUGUCCGGAUUCACUGGGCGUAAAGCGCGCGCAGGCGGUGAUGUAAGUCUGAGGUGAAAACCCGAAGCUCAACUUCGGGACUGCCUUGGAUACUGCGUCACUUGAGGAUAGGAGAGGCAAGGGGAAUUCCACGUGUAGCGGUGAAAUGCGUAGAGAUGUGGAGGAACACCUGUGGCGAAGGCGCCUUGCUGGCCUAUUUCUGACGCUGAGGCGCGAAAGCGUGGGGAGCAAACAGGAUUAGAUACCCUGGUAGUCCACGCUGUAAACGAUGAGUGCUAGGUGUAGGUGGGCUCAUACCCAUCUGUGCCGAAGCUAACGCAUUAAGCACUCCGCCCUGGGGAGUACGGUCGCAAGACUGAAACUCAAAGAGUAGUAGGACGUUGAGAGUUGCGACGGAGCACGACGGGGAGGGUUAGAGG